AGUCGAACGGUAACAGGUCUUCGGAUGCUGACGAGUGGCGAACGGGUGAGUAAUACAUCGGAACGUGCCCGAUCGUGGGGGAUAACGAGGCGAAAGCUUUGCUAAUACCGCAUACGAUCUACGGAUGAAAGCGGGGGAUCUUCGGACCUCGCGCGGACGGAGCGGCCGAUGGCAGAUUAGGUAGUUGGUGGGAUAAAAGCUUACCAAGCCGACGAUCUGUAGCUGGUCUGAGAGGAUGAUCAGCCACACUGGGACUGAGACACGGCCCAGACUCCUACGGGAGGCAGCAGUGGGGAAUUUUGGACAAUGGGCGAAAGCCUGAUCCAGCCAUGCCGCGUGCAGGAUGAAGGCCUUCGGGUUGUAAACUGCUUUUGUACGGAACGAAAAGCCUCUUUCUAAUAAAGAGGGGUCAUGACGGUACCGUAAGAAUAAGCACCGGCUAACUACGUGCCAGCAGCCGCGGUAAUACGUAGGGUGCAAGCGUUAAUCGGAAUUACUGGGCGUAAAGCGUGCGCAGGCGGUUUUGUAAGACAGAGGUGAAAUCCCCGGGCUCAACCUGGGAACUGCCUUUGUGACUGCAAGGCUGGAGUGCGGCAGAGGGGGAUGGAAUUCCGCGUGUAGCAGUGAAAUGCGUAGAUAUGCGGAGGAACACCGAUGGCGAAGGCAAUCCCCUGGGCCUACACUGACGCUCAUGCACGAAAGCGUGGGGGGCAAACAGGAUUAGAUACCCUGGUAGUCCACGCCCUAAACGAUGUCAACUGGUUGUUGGGUCUUCACUGACUCAGUAACGAAGCUAACGCGUGAAGUU
rnacentral:rRNA from 1 species